UACGUAGGGUGCAAGCGUUGUCCGGAAUUAUUGGGCGUAAAGAGCUCGUAGGCGGCCUGUCGCGUCGGCUGUGAAAACCCAGGGCUCAACCCUGGGCCUGCAGUCGAUACGGGCAGGCUAGAGUCCGGCAGGGGAGACUGGAAUUCCUGGUGUAGCGGUGAAAUGCGCAGAUAUCAGGAGGAACACCGGUGGCGAAGGCGGGUCUCUGGACCGGAACUGACGCUGAGGAGCGAAAGCGUGGGGAGCGAACAGG
rnacentral:rRNA from 1 species